GAAGGGCGGUCGCGCAUUGAGCAUUGUGGGUCAGUGCAGCGCAGCACCCUCACUCUCUCUGGCCUAGGGCACCCACGAAUGAUGAUGAAUUUGGGAUAUUUCGGGUGGUAUGGAGAGCUGCAGUGUUGCUAGGGAUUGAUAGCAAUGGCUGCGAUCACAGCUCCAGAUUCCAGUGUUCUGGAGCAAUUCCAUCACUUGUCAUCGGCUUCUCCCCUGCGUUGCCAUCCAACUCGACGACCUCCAUCCUCAAGAAUUGUGGCGCAAGAUGGAGGAAGCAGGAGGAUUCGACGAUCGCCUAGAUGCUGCAGCAGGUAACAAUGGGAGCAUUGAUGAUUGCGAACAGCACAGUGGCAGUUGGCAAUGCGGGGAGGACACGGCGAUGGCCAUCGAUGAUGAUCAAGGCUACCACACUCCCAAAUUUUAGAUGGAGUUCACUUACGCUUGCUAUGAACACUAUGUUAAAAGAGGUGUGCCAAAAAAGGAUAAUUCAGUUCUUUUGCCAUGAGUGCCAAGAGCAA